GGGGGCGAAUUGGGUUCGACGUUUUUAUUGGAUUCCAAAGCGCAUGCCAAGAUUGUGGUAACUCUUGUAAAACAUACUACAAAAAAAUUAGUUGCAGAAAACGACAACUACGCUUUAGCCGCUUAAUUGGCUAACCAAUGCAAAAAUUGUCUAUGGUUUGAAGCAUUGGCAAAAUACAUAGUCUAGUUUUGC
rnacentral:tmRNA from 1 species